rnacentral:rRNA from 1 species
GACGAACGCUGGCGGCGUGCUUAACACAUGCAAGUCGAACGGUGAAAGCGGAGCUUGCUCCGCUGGAUCAGUGGCGAACGGGUGAGUAACACGUGGGCAACCUGCCCCUCACUUCGGGAUAACUCCGGGAAACCGGGGCUAAUACCGGAUAUGACCUCCUUGGGCAUCCUUGGAGGUGGAAAGUUUUUCGGUGAGGGAUGGGCCCGCGGCCUAUCAGCUUGUUGGUGAGGUAGUGGCGCACCAAGGCGACGAGGGGUAGCCGGCCUGAGAGGGCGACCGGCAACACGGGGACUGAGACACGGCCCAGACGCCUACGGGAGGCAGCAGUGGGGAAUAUGGCGCAAUGGGCGAAAGCCUGACGCAGCAACGCCGCGUGCGGGAUGACGGCCUUCGGGUUGUAAACCGCUUUCAGCAGGGAAGAAGCCGCAAGGUGACGGUACCUGCAGAAGAAGCACCGGCUAACUACGUGCCAGCAGCCGCCGUAA